AAGCAUUCCCUUUUCACCCACACCCACACAAACAUCUAUUGUUUUUUGACUUUUUAAUGUUAUUCUUGCAGAGUAAGGUGAUACCUUAUUGCAGUUUUAAUUUGAAUUUCCCUGAUGAUUAGUGAUGUUAACCAUUUUUUUAACAUGCUUGUUGUGGGUUUGACAUUUAAAAAGACUCAUAUUCCUCAGAUAAGUUUUUUUCUUUUUCAUCCCCACCCCCACUCUCCCCGUCCCAGUUGAGCCUCCAUCAUCUCUCACCUGGACUGGUGCAGUCUUCUCCAAGACCCUAGGCUUCAGAAGCAGACGAGGGAACGAGCAGAAGAACAGAAGAACAGCAGAAUGGCAUGGCAGAGAGAAGAAAGGGACCAUCUGAACGCCAAGAGAAAUUCAGCUGGGGGAGGUCAGAGAGGAGAUAGACUGCAGGACAGCCAAGCUCCAGGGGAAGAUCAUCUUCCCACUCCAUCCCCUUUCCAGCUCCCCAUCCAUCCCGCUGAGAGCCACCUCCACCACUCAAUAAAACCCUGCAUUCACCAUCCUCAAGUCUGUGUGUGACCUGAUUCUUCCUGGAUGCCGGACAAGGACCUAGGUACCAUGAGGGCACUGAGCUGGUUAACACUUAAGCUAUCUGCAGGCAGCACAGCUAAAAGAAUGCAUGGUAACACAUGCCUACUUGGGCUUUGGGAGUUGCAGGCACCCACCCCUAGAAGCUACCAUGGGGCUGGAGCCCCAAGGUGCUUGCCCUGGC
rnacentral:lncRNA from 1 species